CCAGCAUCUUUCCAAAAUCGACGGCCUCGUCGCCAGUCGAUGGUCUGUCUGCAUUGGGGGAAGGUCGACGACUUAUACAAAUUUUAUCCACUAUCGUUCAUUUUCGCUUGGUGGAUAAGGAAGGACAGUUGUACCAGGCGAUGUCUCGGGACAGCUGGUACAAGAAGAGAAGAAAAAAAAGAUGUCAUGAUCUACAAGUAUAAUCAUACAGAAAUCACCUAACAUUUUCUUUUUUUUGAUGUGCUGACAGGUUUUGAAAAUUUCUGAUACAAGAGGAAACUUCAUUGAAAAAAAAAAAAAAAAAAGUAAAGCAUGCCUAGGAAAAUGCAUAAAGAGACUUUUGUUAUAUCUUUCCAUUUUACUGUUUGAUGAAAAAUCCAUAUGUACAUCAUGUGUUUUUAAUGCAGUUCUGUUGUGUUUUACACUUUUUUACUAAAAGAUCAACUCUGAAUUUUAAAUGCCACCAAGUGUUUGUGCUGAUCACCACAAACUGCUCAUAUUUUUUCAAGAUUUUAACUUUUGUUUUUAUUCAGAAGGUAUGCUCAGAAUAUAAUCUCAUUUUAUAAUAAAAUAGAACUUUGAAAAUAAUAUGCUUGUAUUCACUGUACGAUGUACUUUACACAUUAUUUUCUUUGUUUUCUGGAGAAUAUUGCAUGAGUAUUUGCAGUUCAUUUGUAAUUUGUUUGUGUAUGUAAAUGUUCCUAGUUGUGCAGGUAUUUUAACUUUGUGAUGUAUCUUUUCUUCAUUAAUAUGUGUAGUAAUGUAAUGUUUACGCGAAUGAUAAAUAAACCCCACUUACUAGGUAAUGUGGGGCGAGAUUUACAUAAGAUUUAAGACCCCGGUGAAGAGAAAAUUCCAAAUGGGAUUUCUCAUUUAAAUAACUUUUUCCUUAAAUUUUAGCUGUCUGUUGCAGCACUGAUUGUAUGCUUUAUUGCGUAGUAUGCUUCAUGGUUUAAAACUGUUGUCCAAGGGUUUUAAUGUUGCCUGGAAUCAAAAUCGUUAUAAAAACUGUUAUAAAAGUUUGUAUAUAAAACUAUUACUGCAUUGUUAAAAAGAAAACAAAAGUCGGAAUAAGUAACUAUUAUUUUUUCUUUACUAAAUUUAAAUGUAAGCAAGUUUUUUUAAGUUAAAUGAAUGGAAUUCUUGCAGAAAUUCAGUUUUUCUUUUUUUCUUUUUUUUUUUUUUUAAUGUAUAAUCAUAGUAAGGUAUAAUAGCAUAAUUUAAAGUAAUGAAAACAUGUUACUGCAAAUUUAUUUGAUAUCUCAGUUAAUAAAUAUUAUUGAUUUUGAUUCUGGUACAUUUCUUAGUGUACAAUAUAUUAGUUCAUUACUGUGUUAUGCAUAAAUUAAAUUUGUAGUUGGGUAUAUUUAGCUCUAGAACUUCAUAAAAAAGCAAAGCAAUCAUGCAUUACAUACUCUUUCUAAUAAAAUAAGUCAACAGUUACAGGAAAAAAUCAUAUUAAUAUUUAAUAUAAUUUUAUAAAACAUUAGUUGGAAUUUCAGUACUUUCAAAAAUUCUGUUUGUUAUAGUUUCACACUCUAUAUUAAUUUCCUCAACAAUAGCUUAGCAUAAUAAUUAUUUAUUGUAGUAAUUAAUUGGAAUACUGUACAUUGUUGUUUUGAGAGCAACUUAAAUUACAUAAAUGGGUUUUAAGCAUUAAGCAUUUUGUAGGUAGGAGGCACCACUUUCAAUUUGGAAAAUGUGUAUGUGAAGCCUUGUUAUUAUAAAUUUUAUUUCAUAAAAACCUUUCCAGGUUUGGUAUUGGAAAUCUUAAUCCUCUAAGUUGAUAAAUUUUAAAACAUGCAGUGGUAUUUACAGUUUCAGAAUGAUGCUUGUUUAGGUUUGGUUUAAUUAUAUGGCAAAGCACACCAGGGCUAUCUGCCUAAGGGGGGAUGCCUUUGUAGAAGACUUUGUAAGGGGAACUGGUUCGUAUACAAGUUACACAAGGGAAAACUACGAAAACGCCCAUGCAGCCAGCCCCUUCGCGGGAUUCGGACCAAACUGCGGGUGUUCAGCGACUUUACUGCUCGACCACUGGUGGAUCUGAUGCUUAUUUAGUUUUUAGAAUAAAACUCAUUUAUUUAAUUAUAGAAGGAAUUUAAAGAUUAUAAUCCGAAACCUGGUAAAAGAUUAAACUUCUUUUAAAUUAAAAGGUAGAGCAAAGAAUUGCAUUUGUUCGAAGGAUAUUUUUAUUCAUUUUUCCCCCAUAUAUAUUUUGGUUAAAAAAUACAAAUAGGUAAUUUUACUUCUAGUAUAUUUAAGUAGAAGGAUUUCAACUGGGCUUCACCAGGAAUGGCUUUGCAGAAUGGUUUUUAACGACUUGUACAGACAGCUUACACUGCCAGGUUGCUAACUACCAUAAAAUAAUAUUUAACACAGCUGUUCCGUGGAAGAAUAACAAAUGUAUCUCUGUAAUCUUCAUGUGCAAAUUUUAGAUUUUUGAAACCUCUGUAACGGCUAUAAAUGAUUUCUUUAAAAAUAGCUCUGAAAUUUCAAAAUAUAGACAAAGGAGUUUUAAUUUUUAACAUCUUGAAUACAAAAGGCCAUUUCUAAAAUUUCACUUAAUAUGUAAGCAUGAUGCUGUGCUUUUUUAUGUUUUUGCUUUAAAAUGCACUAUUGUCUAAUUGUCUAAUCCUGUUGUAAAUAAUUUUGAGUUUAAAUGAAAUGUCAGCAUAUCUGGAAGUUAAAAGAGAAAUUCGAUAGUGAUAUUUUAAAAUUUAUGUACUAAUUAUUUGAUAUGAAGUUAAUUUAGCCAUCAUAAAUCUUUUACAAACUAAUUGUAUAUUGUUAAAAUUCUAUAAUUAAUAUUUUCUAUUAUAAUUCAGAUUGGAUGUUCAAAAGUCUAUUUAUAAAAUUAAGUUGGUAAAGUUUAAUUAUUCUAAAAGGCAUUAGCGGUUCAAUAUAAGAUACUCUGUGCACAGACUUUAAGCACUUAGUAAUGUAUAAAAGGUGUAUAUGUUAGCAGAAAUAUUAGAAAAUUUUGUGAAAUUCAUCAUAAAUUAAAAUAUAGCAUCAUUUGUAUCUUUUAAUUUAAUUUGUAUUUUAAGAAAAGAAUAAAAUGUCGGUCUUGUCAUAAUAUCGGAGUGGUCUGGAUUAUUUAACGCAAAGCUGAUGAAAGUUCAUAUAUUGCGGUGUUACCUGUAAUCACAGUGUUACUUGAGAAUCUCCCAAAACAAUAUUUCUUAAGAUUUAAAAAAUUGUCUUUAUGAAUUAUCACAUUUUCCAUAGAUAAAUGGAACAAUAAGCACCACUUUUUCAGAGAAAAAGAGGUAAAGCCAAUGUUAUCGAAUUUCUUACCUUCAUAUUGUACUGUAAGUUUCAAAAAAUGAGAAAUGAUAACUUAUUGGUAUUGCAUAAGGUAGCUAGGUAUUAAAGGACUAGCAUUCAUUGCAGUGUUUGAGAAACUUGGGAUAGAGUAUUUUAUUCUGCAGUGAAUACUCUGUGAACAAGUGCAUAACUUGGCUUUACUGUAGUGUUUCAAAGUAUGUUUUUCUGAAUGUUGGUGGAUUGUAAACACUGCCAGGUUGCUUAUAACCAUAUAAUAUGGAAUAAUGUUAAUUCUUAAUAUUUGUCCUGUCUGUUUCAGUUAAUUAGUGAUUUGUUAAAAGUUAAAAUUUAAAAUGUAUGAUUAAAUAAUUACAUGAAAGAAAAUAGGGCUAAGAAUUCAGUGGUGUAUGCCUUUGAAUUGUAUUUAAAUGUGAUAAAACAUAAGACUUUUCUGCUUAAUGGGAAAGAUACCUUUGCAAACAACUUAAGGAAAUUUUCUUAGAUCUACAUCAUUAAGAAAUGGAGGGGGGGAAUAACAGAAACUGGAAGAGUUCAGAUAAUGAUUAAGCGUCAUUCAUGGGCCUAAUAGUAUAUUUCAGCUAACAUGUAUACACUUUUAACUACUAUUAACAAAUAUCUGUUGUAUUGGUGCAUGUCCAUUUAUCUUGCUUCUUUAAUAAGCCUUCUAAAAGUUGGAUAUUGUAAAAAUGUAAUUAAAUGUUUUCUAUAUCAACAUAUGCUGUACACUUCAGGUAUUUGAUUUUGUUUACUGUAUGUUAUUAUAUGUAAGAAAUCAUUUUGUUUUGAAUAUCAAAUAAUAAAGCUACAAUAAAUUUUUUUAAUGUUUGAAAUUGUUUCAACCAUUUAUUGAAAAUUUGUUAUAGUUUUUAAAACCCAUCAUUUUGUCUCUAGUAUAAUUUUUUUUUACUUUCCAAUAAAGCUUUUUCUGUUUGUACUUGAUUCCGUACGUAUCAUGAAGUUUAUAUUGACUGUGCAGGUUGAGAUAUUUUAAUGCAUACUGUGUUAUCUUUAUAACUUGUAAAAGGUGUAGUUGAUACGAGUAAUGCAAGUUGAAAGCUAGAAUAUUGUAGUGUCCAUGGAUUAAUUUAAAUAAUUUAAUAAAUGGCUUUUAGCUUUUUCAUUUCAAAUCAAUACUCAGAAAAGAUUGAGGUUUACUAGUAGUUGAUAUUGAAUUGGAGAUGCAUCUAAUAACAUGUAAUGCUUUAUUUUAGAGGUAUUACACAUAAAAAGUAAGCUUGUUCACUAAUGUAUAAAAUACAAUAAAUGAAGUUGAUUUAAGGAGAAUAUAUUCUAGAACUGUAAUUACAUUGUACAUAUUUCUGACUAUCUAUUAUUAAACUCUUAAAAAAAUAAUUUUUAACAUUGGAAACAGGAAAAUGGUUUCAAAAUCCAAAGCAUUAUCAAUUUAAUUGAAUUUUUAUUUAAUUUUCUUUUGCUUUCAGGAUUAAUUUCUUACAUUUGCUGUUUGCUUUCCUUGUGUUAAGCUAAAUCGUAAAGAGAAAUAAGUUUUCUUUUCGUUUGUUGCAAAAUUUUUUGUCAUAUAAUUUAAAAUAUUUGUACUAUUUUUCAUUGACUAUUAAUUCUACAGCAAUUCUUUAUAAUUUAAAAUAGUAGAAUAGUUCGCAGCUUAAGAUGUGCAUUAGGUUUACAUAUGUAAUAUUAUGCUAAUAUAUAUUUAGAUUUUGGUGCUACAACUAAAUUCUUUGAAGUGGAAUGCUUUUCCUCAGAUUGAUUUUAAAGUUUUGUCUGCAUACUGUAACAUAUUUGCGUUGCUACGCUACCGACAUAAUACGAAUAAGAAAUAUAAAGAGAACUUGCGCAUAAAAUAUCGGUGCUUGAAGAUGCACAUGCUAAAAGUGUUUUUCUGUUAUUCUGUAAGAUUGACUAAUAAAGUUGUUUGUUCGAUGAAAA